ensembl:lncRNA
CUCCCCCCAAAAAACUCAACAAAACAAACAAACAAAACAAAAACAAAAACAAAAACAAAAACCAAAACAAUUCUAAUGCUCACUUACACGAGCUCUGGUCAAAAGCAGCAAAUAAGAAAACUGAACAACAACAAAUAGUUGAAAAGAAUUGCACUUCUCUGCAGAAGUAAAUACACAUGGGUUUUGGGAAGAGAAUCAAGAUCUCUCAUACAUUAGGCAACUGCCAUAACUGCUAAUCUUGGUCUCCUGUGAUAUACAAGAAGUCUAACAUGGCCAUACCAGAAGCUCUUUGCCAUUCGGAGGGAAUCAGCAAAUGAAAGAAGUCUGGGACUGGACUGGUAGAUUAGCUGUUAAUUUGCAACUCCUUUUCUUAGACUUGCCUCUGCACGGGGACACUUAUACCUCAGUAGAAUUCAUUCUUUUCUAAUCACUUCAUAUCUAUCAGAAGCAAAGAAGGAUCAGAAACUAAAGGCUGCUAUCCCUUUUAUAUUAUUAUUCAUGAGUUGUGAGUCUAACUUACCAAAUUCAAGGCCUUGUUUUUAUAGGGAACAACCUCUGUACAUUUUUUCAAGGUCAGAUCUAUUUGGGUCUUUUGGUUAAACUCAUAUCAUCUGUUAGUAUAUUUGUG